GGUGGCAUGGCCAAGUGGUAAGGUCAAGGUCUGCAAAACCUUCAUCACCGGUUCAAAUCCGGUUGCCGUCUCCA
rnacentral:tRNA from 2 species